rnacentral:rRNA from 1 species
AUUGAACGCUGGCGGCAGGCCUAACACAUGCAAGUCGAGCGGAUGAAGGGAGCUUGCUCCUGGAUUCAGCGGCGGACGGGUGAGUAAUGCCUAGGAAUCUGCCUGGUAGUGGGGGAUAACGUCCGGAAACGGGCGCUAAUACCGCAUACGUCCUGAGGGAGAAAGGGGGGGUCUUUCGAACCUACGGCUACCAGAUGACCCUAGGUCGGAUUAGCUAGUGGGUGGGGUAAAGGCCUACCAAGGCGACGAUCCGUAACUGGUCUGAGAGGAUGAUCAGUCACACUGGAACUGAGACACGGUCCAGACUCCUACGGGAGGCAGCAGUGGGGAAUAUUGGACAAUGGGCGAAAGCCUGAUCCAGCCAUGCCGCGUGUGUGAAGAAGGUCUUCGGAUUGUAAAGCACUUUAAGUUGGGAGGAAGGGCAGUAAGUUAAUACCUUGCUGUUUUGACGUUACCAACAGAAUAAGCACCGGCUAACUUCGUG